AUUGUUGUAACUUCUACUCAGUCCAGCAACGUUUAGUAAAUACUCUUCUUCUUCUAAAGCAGCUUAAUUUUCUUAAGAAGAAUGGCAUCAAUGAAGGCUGAGAAACCUGCUGCUGGGACUCAAUCAAGUGGUCAGACUAAAAAAGAGCCUGCAACUAAACCUGGUGCUACUACCCCCAAAGCCCCGGCCUCAAAGCCGGCGCCUAAGAAAACCGAGCAGAAGCCUCGGGAGCCUAGGAAGAAGGCAACAGGAGGCAAGUCAGCUGCUAAAGCAUAAGAGAAUGAGCUAGUGGAUGCAGCAUGUGAAAAUAUGUCCAUGAAGCAGUUGAUUCAUGGCUGUCCUUAUUAACAUUAAGGAGCUAUACUAGUUUUUCAUCAUGUUUUGUAUCCAUGUCUAUGUCCUUUUAGGCUUGGCCUAUUAAAUAAAAUACGUAUUUAAAGAA